rnacentral:rRNA from 1 species
GUCGACGAUGAAGCCCUUCGGGGUGGAUUAGUGGCGAACGGGUGAGUAACACGUGGGCAAUCUGCCCUGCACUCUGGGACAAGCCCUGGAAACGGGGUCUAAUACCGGAUAAUACCUGCCGAGGCAUCUCGGUGGGUUGAAAGCUCCGGCGGUGCAGGAUGAGCCCGCGGCCUAUCAGCUUGUUGGUGGGGUGAUGGCCUACCAAGGCGACGACGGGUAGCCGGCCUGAGAGGGCGACCGGCCACACUGGGACUGAGACACGGCCCAGACUCCUACGGGAGGCAGCAGUGGGGAAUAUUGCACAAUGGGCGAAAGCCUGAUGCAGCGACGCCGCGUGAGGGAUGACGGCCUUCGGGUUGUAAACCUCUUUCAGCAGGGAAGAAGCGAAAGUGACGGUACCUGCAGAAGAAGCGCCGGCUAACUACGUGCCAGCAGCCGCGGUAAUACGUAGGGCGCAAGCGUUGUCCGGAAUUAUUGGGCGUAAAGAGCUCGUACGCGGCUUGUUGCGUCGGAUGUGAAAGCCCGGGGCUUAACCCCGGGUCUGCAUUCGAUACGGGCAGGCUAGAGUGUGGUAGGGGAGAUCG